AAAGGCACGUGUCGUUGG
rnacentral:snRNA from 1 species